GACGUAGGUGGCGACCGUUAUCCGGAAUUAUUGGGCGUAAAGGGUGCGUAGGUGGCCUGACAAGUUAUCAGUGGCAAAUCGAGGCUCAACCUCGUGGAAACUGGUAAUACUGUUCGGCUUGAGUACAGGAGAGGUUAACGGAACUCUAUGUGGAGCGGUAAAAUGCACAGAUAUAUAGAAGAACAGCAAUAAAGGCGAAGGCAGUUAACUAUUCUGUUACUGACGCUGAGGCACGAAAGCGUGGGGAGCAAAACGG
rnacentral:rRNA from 1 species